ACCUAGCGGCGGACGGGUGAGUAAUGCGUAGGAAGCUACCCGAUAGAGGGGGAUACCAGUUGGAAACGACUGUUAAUACCGCAUAAUGUCUACGGACCAAAGUGUGGGACCUUCGGGCCACAUGCUAUCGGAUGCGCCUACGUGGGAUCAGCUAGUUGGUGAGGUAACGGCUCACCAAGGCAAUGACGGGUAGCUGGUCUGAGAGGACGACCAGCCACACUGGAACUGAGACACGGUCCAGACACCUACGGGUAGCAGCAGUCGAGAAUUUUUCUCAAUGGGGGAAACCCUGAAGGAGCGACGCCGCGUGGAGGAUGAAGGUCUUCGGAUUGUAAACUCCUGUCAUGAGGGAGUAAGACAUCGCGUUAACUGCGUGGGUGUUUGAUAGUACCUCAAGAGGAAGAGACGGCUAACUCUGUGCCAGCAGCCGCGGUAAUACAGAGGUCUCGAGCGUUGUUCGGAUUCAUUGGGCGUAAAGGGUGCGUAGGCGGUUGGGUAAGUCAGACGUGAAAUUCCAGGGCUCAACCCUGAAACUGCGUUUGAUACUGCCUGACUAGAGUACUGGAGAGGAGACUGGAAUUCACGGUGUAGCAGUGAAAUGCGUAGAUAUCGUGAGGAAGACCAGUGGCGAAGGCGAGUCUCUGGACAGUAACUGACGCUGAGGCACGAANGCCANGGGAGCAAACGGGAUUAGAUACCCCGGUAGUCCUGNNAGUAAACGGUGCACGUUUGGUGUGGGGGGAAUCNACCCCUUCCGCGCCGGANCUNACGCGUUAAACGUGCCGCCNGGGGAGUACNGUCGCAAGAUUNAACUCAAAGAAAUUGACGGGGGCCCGCANAANCGGUGGAGUAUGUGGCUUAAUU
rnacentral:rRNA from 1 species